UUUGUUACAUGGCAAUAGAUAACUAAUACAGCCUCGACCAAUGGUCAGUGCCCCACACUUUAGAGAACACCAUCCUAAAGGGACCAUGUUCCAGUGGGACACUAUUCCAGUGUAGUAAGUGGAGCAAUCAUGGAAAGUAGAGGGACAAGUUGAGUGCAACGGCUCAGACGUGUCCAGAUACGCUUCUUUACCUCUGCCUUGGAGCUUGUUCCAGAACCUGUGAGGGUGAAUGCUGA
rnacentral:lncRNA from 10 species